rnacentral:tRNA from 1 species
CUAAAAAGUUCUUUAGGCAC